rnacentral:rRNA from 1 species
AGGGGUUCCACACGUACCCAUCCCGAACACGACCGUUAAGCCCUCCAGCGCCGAUGGUACUUGGACCGCAGGGUCCUGGGAGAGUAGGACGUCGCCAAGC